ACAUUAACAUCAGAGUAUAGUUGUGAUGAAAACAUCAACAUCAUUUGACGUUUUAACCGAUUUUCCCCGUUCACCAGCCGCCCCUUGCUUUCAUUGUUCUUUUUCACUUUUACCACUCCUUUCUGUUUGUAAACACAAUCCUCAAAUUGGGCAAAGCUGAGAACAAAUUGGGAGAUCGAUUCAAUGUCUUGGCCUACUCAGGAUGAGUUAAAUAAAAUUAGAAAGAUAAUAUCUGAAAUGGCUGGGAAAGGUACAGCGGAGGUUCGAGUUGUUGUAUCUCCUUAUCGGAUUUGUCCAUUGGGAGCUCAUGUCGAUCAUCAGGGUGGUAUUGUUUCUGCUAUGACAAUUAAUAAGGGAAUACUGCUGGGGUUUGUACCUUCUGGCGACAAUCAGGUUGCAUUACGUUCCGGUCAGUUUAAAGGAGAAGUUAGGUUCAGAGUUAAUGAAACCCAGCAGCCAAGACACACCAUUAGCAAGCGUAAAGAGAUUAAUGUAGAGAAUUCUUCUGCAUCACCAGAAGAAUGUAACUGGGGCGUAUAUGCUGCAGGAGCCUUAUAUGCAUUACAGAGUAGAGGGAACCAUCUUGCUCAGGGAAUCAUUGGCUACAUCUGUGGAUCUGAGGGUCUGGACAGUUCAGGCCUUAGCUCUUCAGCUGCUGUUGGUAUAGCUUACCUGCUGGCUUUCGAAAGUGCAAAUAGUUUAACUGUAUCUCCCACCGAGAAUAUUGAAUAUGACAGGGUGAUUGAAAAUGAGUAUUUAGGUCUGAGAAAUGGCAUAUUGGAUCAAUCAGCUAUACUGCUUUCAAGCCAUGGUUGUCUAACCUACAUGAACUGCAAAACUACAGAGCACAAGCUUAUACACCCACCAAAAUUUCUGAAGGAUCACGAGGCUGAACUACAGAAAGGGUACAAAAUAUUACUAGCAUUUUCAGGACUUAGGCAAGCUUUGACCAGCAAUCCUGGAUAUAAUUCUCGAGUUGCAGAAUGUCAAGAAGCUGCCAAAGUUCUUUUGCAUGCUUCUGGAAAUGGUGAACUGGAGCCCUUCCUGUGCAAUGUUAAACCAGAAGCGUAUGAAGCUUACAAGCUCAAAAUGGAAACAAAUCUAGCCAAAAGAGCAGAGCAUUACUUUUCAGAGAAUAUGCGAGUUACUAAAGGUUUAGAGGAUUGGGCGUCAGGAGACUUGAAAGAUUUUGGACAGUUAAUGUCAGCUUCUGGUCUAAGUUCUAUCAAAAACUAUGAAUGUGGUAUGACCUACCUUUUCUUUUUCUUAGUUGGAUUGCCCUGCCUCUAAAAUUCCAAAAAAUUGAACCAAGAAGAAAUAAAAGAACAAGAUAUUGAUACUCCUAUUGGAGCCCCUUUGAGAAGAUGCAAUAAAGAUACAUUGAGUAAAUUUAUCUCAGUUUUUUAUAUAAUAAUAUAGUAAGGCUCUUCUACUGUUCUCAGUUUUGAUACUUGAGCAGUUAAUUGAUUCUAUUCAUAAUGAGCUUGAUGGCCAUGUGGCCAUUAUAUAUGUAUCAGUUGAAUUACUUCAAGUUCUAAUACAUGCUAUGCUACUAGUUCUAGAGGACAUGACAAAUGUCAUGUUCGAUGAUUGCCAUGUUUUAUAUGAAAUGUUUGCAACCAUCGGCAGUAUCCCUCCCCAUGGUCUGAUAACAAAAUAUAUUUUGUGUGCGGCUCAAAUUCAUACUUUAUUAUUUUUCAAGUUUAAAUUUGAAUUACAGCACUAAAACUUUUUAAUUCUCAAUCUUUCCUUUACUGCAACAACAAAAUGUAGAAAGAGUGAAGCGCUGAAGGGAUAUCCUUAUCAACUAUAACGCAGGUUGCGAGCCACUGAUUCAACUAUAUGAGGUCCUAUUGAGGGCUCCUGGAGUAUUUGGAGCUCGGUUCAGU